rnacentral:rRNA from 1 species
CCUACGGGGGGCUGCAGUGGGGAAUAUUGGACAAUGGGCGCAAGCCUGAUCCAGCCAUGCCGCGUGAGUGAUGAAGGCCUUAGGGUUGUAAAGCUCUUUCAGUGGGGAAGAUAAUGACGGUACCCACAGAAGAAGCCCCGGCUAACUUCGUGCCAGCAGCCGCGGUAAUACGAAGGGGGCUAGCGUGGUUCGGAUUUACUGGGCGUAAAGCGCACGUAGGCGGAUCGUUAAGUCGGGGGUGAAAUCCCGGGGCUCAACCCCGGAACUGCCUUCGAUACUGGCGAUCUUGAGUCCGGAAGAGGUGAGUGGAACUCCUAGUGUAGAGGUGGAAUUCGUAGAUAUUAGGAAGAACACCAGUGGCGAAGGCGGCUCACUGGUCCGGUACUGACGCUGAGGUGCGAAAGCGUGGGGAGCAAACAGGAUUAGAUACCCGUGUAGUC